GCAGCAGAGAGGGCACUCCUGUUACAAAUGGCAUGAAGCCCCUUUGCACAACCCAGCCAUUGCCAUGCCACAUUGCAAGCAUGGUUGAACAUGGACAACGACUAAAGGGCAAGACUACCUUCAGGGGCCCGAGAAAAUCAGCAAAUGCAAAAAUAUUCAAGGAAAAUUGUGGCCAUUUGGAAGGAGCAUUUACCCCCAAAUUUCUAACCGUAGGUCUACUUCAUAUAAUCACCCCUUUCCUUAAAGCUAGUGGGGGGUCACAAACAUUAUGGGAAGCCUUGAGUAUCUUGUCAGAACUACCUCCUGCUCUGCCUAGACAGGCAUUCUGAAGUGUAGUUGGCAGGGCUUGUGUGGGUGGGAGGAGCAGAGCACAGUUGUAACGCCCUGGUGCCCAGGGAUCCAGCCCCAGAAACUCAGACUGCAUGCCCUGUGCUGCAUGCCCUGGGGGAGAAAUGGGAAGAGCCAGGGGAUGAUCUUACAGAGGCUCUGCUUCAAUCGCUUCUGAUGGCAGGGUAGGGCUUGGCCCGCUCCCUGCAGGAUUCCAGCACGGGGUGCCCGUGGUUUUCCAUGCCUCCUGCUGUUUGGGCAUGCCAAGCAAGCUCUGCCUACCUUUGUUGUGAGGCAGAGACAGGGCAAUUUUGGCCACGUGGGCCAGAGGAAUCUUCCUGCCCUUGCCCACCACACGGUCAUUGACGAAGGUCCCGUUGGCACUUUGGUCUUCCAGGCUUCGCUCCUGGCCAGAUCCAGCCUGGAAAAGCUGUAGUCGCAGCCGGGGUCGCGGCCAAACCAGUACUCGUUCUUCAGGCAGACUGAGCGGGAAGAGGAGCGGUUCCGGUCAGCCCGG